rnacentral:rRNA from 1 species
GUAGGUGAACCUGCGGAAGGAUCAUUAACACUAAUCCAACAAACUCAACCAAGCCUUCAGUUGCAGCAGUAGUACGCGCUAGCGCAAGCGGGCCGUACCGCAGCUGCAACACCAAGCAAACCUAAUUCACGCAAAGGAGUCUAACUAAGACCAACCAAAUAACCAAAUUCUCAACGAUGGAUAUCUUGGUUCCCAUAACGAUGAAGAACGCAGCGAAGUGCGAUAAGCAAUGCGAAUUGCAGAACCGUGAGUCAUCAGAUUUUUGAACGCAACUGGCGCCGGCUGGCUAUCCAGCCGGCAUGCUUGUUUCAGUGUCUGUUUUUCUCCUCACCCACAUCCUAAUGCGAGAGAUGCCCUUCUCUUGUCAAGCACGAAAGCACUCUGCGCUCUGCGAGCGGCGUCGACUCGUUCGAGUGCCGCACUCAAUGCAGCGGUCACAUUGCUCACAAUGUGAACUCAUUGAGAGCAGGGGCAGUGCAGCUCCGGCUGCGCAGUGCUUAGCCACACAACCUUUCUUUGUAUCUGAAAUCAAGCAGGAUCACCCGCUGAACUUAAGCAUAUCACUA